AAAUUUUGAGAUCGCAGAAGGUUGUUCACAUCAGUUGUGGAGAAGAACAUACAGCAGCCCUCACCAAGGAUGGCGGCUUGUUUACAUUUGGUGAUGGCUCGUGGGGUCAGCUGGGCCAUGGCUCCACCAAUGACGAACUUUUACCCAGACGAGUGCUGGAGCUCAUGGGCACUGAGGUGUCCCAGAUCACCUGUGGCAGACAUUUUUAACACCUCACUGGAGACAUGCCAGCCGGCUUGAAAGCCUCAACCAUCAUCCCUGUCUCCAAGAAACCAAGGACCACAGGACUAAAUGACUACAGACCGUCGCCCUGACCUCUGUGGUAAUGAAGUCUUUUGAGCGCCUUGUUGUCCCACCUAAAAUCCAUCACAGACCCACCUGGACUCCCUGCAGUUCGCCAACAGAGCCAACAGGUCUGUAGGUGAUGCAGUAAACAUGGCCCUUCACUUCAUCCUCCAGCACCUGGACUCCCCAGGAACCUACACAGGAUCCUGUUUGUGGAUUUCAGCUCUGCUUUCAACACCA